rnacentral:lncRNA from 1 species
ACUCUCCCCUGCUUCAAGUUCAGCUCUGGAUUGAAUCCUACAACAAUCAUCAUCAUUCGACAUAGGAGCAUGCUGGGACUCGUAAAAGAACUUUAGAAUAUAUCCUUCAUCCCCUUCUCAUCCAAUCACAAAUGCUCAAACUCUAAUACGUAGGUUUCAAAGCAUUUGGAAGGAAUCGGGGAAUACUGUUGCUAAGGUCAUGAAGAGGAUUGUAUUAGAGUUAUAGAACUAGAACAAGAUGGGGAUCUCGUCCAUACGUCUUCAUGCAUUUGUGAAUAUAAUAUAUAAUAUUUACCGAGUGUUCCAUUGAAAUCUGAACACUUAUCCUUAGUAUCAAGAACCCCUUCUAAUAUGUUAUAAUAUACCCCGGUUGUACAAGGGUACUACUUGUCCAAAAAGUGGAUCAUUACCCACCACGUCCUGAGCAUCAAGGACUCCUUUUGAUAUCCUAUAAUGCACUGUACCCGCAGGUAGUGCAAAAUAACCGAUGGUUCCAAAAGUGGGUCAUUACCCCCUUACUUCUUUGAGCAUCAAUCUCCUCUUUCAAUAUCCUAUAAUACACGCCAGCUCAUGGGUUGUGCAAGUGAACGCUGGUCGAAAAAGGUGGGUCGUUAUUCGCAGAACUUAUAAACUUCUUUUGGCAUUAUUCUUAUUGGUGUAUGUAAAGGUAUGUGUAACUUUGGUAGUGGUUUAUGGCCGUCAUGUGGCCCCUCUGCAAAUGGAGGGUUCGGGAGUUUUUAAAUACUAAAAUGUAGGCGAAAAAGGAGAACAAUUUGAAUGAACAUGAUAAAAUUUGGGUAUAUCAAGAUGACUACAGCAACAAGUAAAUAUAUAAUAAAAAUUUACAUAAGAAUUGUUGAUCCUAUUUAACAAUAUUCGAACUACACGGUUAUAUAUUUCAUAUAAAUAUUAUUAGUGUGUUCAAAAUAGACAUAAACAAAAAACUGAUUUAAAUAUACUUUUAAACAUCGAAUGUAAUACUUUUAAAAAGUCAUCUUUUUUAAUAUACCUAACAUAUCUGAUAUUACCUUAAUACAUC